GACCAAGAUGCUAAGAGCACACGGUGGAUGCCUUGGCGGUAGGAGCCGAAGAAGGACGCGGAAGGCUGCGAAAAGCUCCGGGUAGUCGCCUAACAGACGUAAAUCCGGAGAUGUCCGAAUGGGGAAACCCGGCACAGGUAAUGCUGUGUCAUCCUUGCCUGAACACAUAGGGCAAGGAAGGCAAGUGGGUGAACUGAAACAUCUAAGUAACCCGAGGAAAAGAAAGUAAAAACGAUUCCCUCAGUAGCGGCGAGCGAACGGGGAUGAGCCCAAACCCGAUGGGUGUGAUAGCCCGCAGGUGUUGCUCAUCGGGGGUUGUAGGAGUCAUCAGGCGUUUCUGCGGAGGCGCCAGGGAGUUACAAAACAGGUCUUUAGCCGAAGCGGGAUGGAAAGCCCGGCCACAGAAGGUAACGGCCCUGUAGGCGAAAAGGAUCUGUCUCCCGAUGAAAUUCCUGAGUACGGCGGGGCACGUGAAAUCUUGCCGGAAUCUGCGUGGACCACCACGUAAGGCUAAAUACUACCUACCGACCGAUAGUGAACUAGUACCGUGAGGGAAAGGUGAAAAGUACCCCGGGAGGGGAGUGAAAUAGUACCUGAAACCGUGUGCUUACAAACAGUCAGAGGGAGCUUGUCUCCUGAUGGCGUGCUUUUUGUAGAACGAACCGGCGAGUUACUGAUACGCAGCAAGGUUAAGGAUUACCGGAGCCGCAGCGAAAGCGAGUCUUAAUAGGGCGAUUUAGUUGCGUGUCGUAGACCCGAAACCGAGUGAGCUACCCAUGGGCAGGGUGAAGCGAGGGUAAGACCUCGUGGAGGCCCGAACCCACUCAGGUUGAAAACUGAGGGGAUGACCUGUGGGUCGGAGUGAAAGGCUAAUCAAACUCGGGAAUAGCUGGUUCUCCCCGAAAUAGCUUUAGGGCUAGCCUCAGGUGUUUAGUUAUGGUGGUAGAGCACUGAAUGAGCUAGGGGGCUUCACCGCUUACCAAUCUCAAUCAAACUUCGAAUGCCAUAACUUUAGAGCCUGGGAGUCAGACUGCGGGGGAUAAGCUUCGUAGUCGAAAGGGAAACAGCCCAGACCGUCGGCUAAGGUCCCUAAAUGCAGGCUAAGUGGGAAAGGAUGUGGGAUUGCACAAACAACCAGGAUGUUUGCUUAGAAGCAGCAAUCAUUUAAAGAGUGCGUAAUAGCUCACUGGUCAAGUGGUUCCGCGCCGAAGAUGUAACGGGGCUAAAGCCUGCUACCGAAGCCACGGAUUUUCCGCUGUAACAGGCGGGGAAUGGUAGGGGAGCAUUCUCUGUGGGGUGAAGCCGGAAUGUGAGUUCCGGUGGACCGCAGAGAAGAGAGAAUGCCGGUAUGAGUAGCGAAAGACGGGCGAGAAACCCGUCCGCCGAACACCUAAGGUUUCCUGGGGAAGGUUAAUCCGCUCAGGGUUAGUCGGGACCUAAGGCGAGGCCGAAAGGCGUAGUCGAUGGACAACAGGUUUAUAUUCCUGUACCACCAACACAUGUUCGAGCAAUGGGGUGACGGAGAAGGGUAAGCCAACCGCGGCGAUGGUUGACCGCGGACAAGCACGUAGGGGGUCGCGCAGGCAAAUCCGCGCGGCGCAUACCCUGAGGUGUGAUGUCGAACCGAGUAAGGUGAAGUGGCCGACCCCAUGCUUCCUAGAAAAGCCUCUAGCGAGUGGCGUUGGUGCCCGUACCAAAACCGACACAGGUAGGUGAGUAGAGAAUACUAAGGCGAUCGAGCGAACUCUCGUUAAGGAACUCGGCAAAUUGAUCCCGUAACUUUGGGAGAAGGGAUGCCGCGGUAGGGUAGAAGGAUCUUUUAGACUCCUGAAAGCCCGAGGCGGUCGCAGAGAAUAGGCCCAAGCGACUGUUUACUAAAAACACAGCUCUCUGCUAAGUCGAAAGACGACGUAUAGGGGGUGACGCCUGCCCGGUGCUGGAAAGUUAAGGGGAGGGGUUAGUGGCCUUCGGGUCGCGAAGCUCUGAACUGAAGCUCCAGUAAACGGCGGCCGUAACUAUAACGGUCAACCAUUAUGGGCCGUUGUAAAACCUGGCCAUAUGCUGGAACAUCCGAGUAUCCCGCGCUACCUGUCACAGUGACAUGCUAUGCUUGAAUUGGUGAUGUCUAUGACAGGUGAAAAUGCGACGGGUGCGGACAAUCAGCAGGAAAGACCUCCAGGUUGCCUCUCGAAGCCGCGACGAUUGACACCAGAGUAUAUAGUAGGGUUCAUUGAUGGAGAAGGUUGCUUCAGUGUAAGCGUUCAUCCUCACCCGACGGCCAGAAAUGGCUGGGUGAUGGAUCCAUGUUUUCAAGUGUAUCAACACAGGGAUAACUCAGAAAUUCUCGAGUUGAUCAGAGAUUUCUUAGGAUGUGGACGUAUAACGCCGAAGGGCCCGAACAGCAAUGUUCUCACGUACUCAAUUGACUCGAGGCGCGACCUCGAGCAGGUGCUGAUCCCGCUGAUCGAUGAGAACCCGAUUGUAUCAGGCAAGAAACACGAUUUUGUGAAGUUCAAAGAGAUCGUAUUGUCGAUGCAGACGGGUGAACAUCUCAACGCAAGUGGCUUCAGGCGAUUGGCUCUCCUGGCUUUCUCGAUGAACAAUCGAGGAAAGCAGCGGAAGUAUACAAUCGAAGAGGUGACAGGAGGAAUCCUCAGAGACUACACGCCAGGCGCUCAGCAGUAACAGUCGAGAGAGAUGUCGAGUGUGUAUGCUGAGUGAUGAUAUAGUCCGACCUCCAUGGCGAUAUGGAGAGCCAGGCAGAAAUGACCUGGCCGCCGAUUGAAUGUCGGUAGUAACAAAGAUGCCUAAGGUAGCGAAAUUCCUUGUCGGGUAAGUUCCGACCUGCACGAAUGGCGUAACGACUUGGGCGCUGUCUCAACGAGAGGCUCGGCGAAAUUGUAAUGCCGGUAAAGAUGCCGGCUACCCGCAACUGGACGGAAAGACCCCGUGAACCUUUACUGCAACCUGAUAUUGGAUUUUGGUACAUUUUGUGCAGGAUAGGUGGGAGGCUAUGAAACUGUGGCGCCAGCCGUGGCGGAGCCGCCCUUGGGAUACCACUCUUGAUGUAUUGAGGUCCUAACCGAGAACCUUGAAGCAGGUUACGGGACAGUGUC
rnacentral:rRNA from 2 species